UGCCCAUCUCCAGCUACGUACCGGGCGAGAGGCGGGGUCACACCCUGGAGAGGUCGCCAGGCCAUCGCAGGGCAACACAGAGAUAAACCCCUUUCUACUUUUUUUGAUGAAUUAAUUUAUUUAGGUUUAAUAUGGUGAGUCAAAGUCCCUGUUAUAGAUCCUGAAAUCACAGAGGUUUGUCAAAAAAUGUAACCCGCCAGCUGUUGUUUAGCAUAAAUGCCAUACAGGGUCACACACUAAUCACAAUCUGAUUGGAAAGUCCAAAGCAAAAGAAAGUGUUUAUGGUUGAACUCCCACUGAAUGUAGACAUAUUUAAAGGGGCAGUAUUGUGUAUUUUCCAGGUACAUAUUGCCAUUUUAUAGCACAGUCAAGUAAUUAUGUUACUUUCCGUUGUUAGAAAAUUGCUGCAUAAGAGAAAUUUGACUUUGCAAACUGACGCCUUGAAUCUUUUUAAGAAGCUCCUAGUCUUUUUGACACUCCAUCUUCAGAACAUCAACCCAACAAUGUCUCCCCAUUUUGCCGUUUACAACCGUUCCUUCCGGCGUUGGACUGAGAAGUAUUCGUAUAAUGAGAUGCGCAGUUCCAACAGGUGUUUGCUAAUUGCUGCUGCUGGUCUUAAGGAUCUGGGUGGGGGAGUCAUGGAGGAGGGGCACUCUAUGUGAUGGAAGCUCGACUGCCGACUUCCUCUUCAAAGAGUUAGCAAUGUUGAGUUUUAAAUCGUUAAAUGUUUUUUGCUUGGUUUCUUCACCGAAAUAAUAUGUAAGCAUAACCAUACGGGUGGACAGGGUGUGUUAUAUGAAACACACCAGGGUUUUUUUUCCCGAUUGAAAACACUGAUUUUGAGGAAAGCGAGAAGGCUGAAAGAUUCAAAAUAUAAGCAAAAGAGCAUCAGUUUUUAGUGAGCUUCACGUUUCUGUACCCAGUACAUAUUUAAAUCCUACACCUCAAAGCAAGUGCAGAAAUUACUAUUAAUACUUUAUUAAAGUUCACAAAAUUCCUACAAGCAAAUCUGUCUCAUGAUUAAUAUCACUAUUUGACUCUAUAGAAAAGAAAAACUGUUUAGUAUAAAUCCUGUAAAUACGUAUAGAGUAUGAUCAAGAGAGGAACUGACGAGCCCGGACCCAAGGGUCUGAUAUCUGAUUGACGUGCAAUAUUUACAGCACCAUCCACCUUUGUAGGCAUCCCUCAAAAGUUGCAUUUAUUUUACGGUUUCGUACGUAUCUUUGAAUGCAGUGGUACGAUCUCGCAAACCAUAGCUUUCAGAAAAUCCAUCCUGGACAUCAAGCAACUUGAGGACGAUAGAGAGUGAGGUAAAAUAAUAAUAAAAAAGAAAUCUGCGCCAAAACUGUGCUCCAGGACGACUGUAAACAUGCAGAAGCUGCAAAACUCAACAAGAACCAGGCACUUUGGUCUAGGAUGGAGCUUUUCAGCAACAAACACUUAGGAGGCGUUGGCCUGAAACAAAAGGUCAAUUCAUGGCUAACCACAAAUACCUACUGUCUAUCUAGCACAGCGGAGGAUUUGUGAUUCUCUGGUACUGCUCGUCUGCCUUUUAUGCUUUUUCACUAAAAAAGGUUUCAUUGUAUUGGGAUGUGCUAUUCCUCUUAAUAACUGUUCCUUUAACGCUCAAACAAAAAAAAAAGUUAUAUACCUCACGUAAUCUCAAUGACAGAAAGAAGGAAAAAGUUUCCCGAAGAGCUGAAAGAAAUUCAGAAGAAAAAUGAGGUCAGCAGCGCCACCCGGUGGUGAGUUACUGAAGGUGCAGCGAGCACACCACACCUUUAAUUACACAUUGUUCCUUGGAAAGAUAUGAAGAGCAUGUGUCCUUGCUGGCACCGACUGGAAAAACUGGACUGACGGAUCAGAAUGGAGCAGGCUCGACUGCUCCACUGCUCUCUCGUCACGUCCAAUACACAGGUUAUUAGCAGCACUGGGUGAUCAUUGAUUAUCCUUGAGCUCUUGUGUUGUAUGAUACGUUCUUGUCUGAUGAAUAUGAGAUAAAGACACUUUAUGAGAGGAGGAAGAAACCAGGUUUGCUGCUGCGUCAGCUGUAGUAAGUUUGCUUUUAAACAAACCAUGUGAUACGGAGAUGCUUCUUUGUCCAUAAAUAAAAUAUUGGAGCAUAAGUGUGGUCGUGGUUCAUAUUUUAAGACCUGAACAUCUCUGCAACACAUCCACCAAUUCUAACUGGAAAGUUUCAUAUUUGCUUCUGUAUCUGCAAUGUUGAACACAUGUAAUUUCUGAUUUGUCAAAGAAAGGCUUGUUCUUUGUUUGAGGUGUACAAACGAGCUCUUCAGCAUUCUUUUAUUUAAUGCUUUCAUUGGAAUAUGAACACGAGACAAAAUAAUCUUGAACUACAAACCAGGCAGAUAAUUAGCCGUGGGAUUUGUGAAAGAAACUCUAGCCAGUGAGAGGACCUUGGGCUUUGUUCGGCUGCAGAUCUUACACGCUUGAACCCAGCUCUGUAACAUACUGCAGUGAAACCUAUAAAGUUUAUAAUGUACCUUUCAAUACAUUUAAAAGGUAGGGGUUAAGUCUCAUAAACUUUGUCUUACAAAUCAUUCAUGCAGGUCACCGUAAAAGUCUAUGGAUAAAAACCCACAUCAUGCUUUGCAUAUUUCUACUUCUAAAACUCUU